UGAUGAGUGUGUGUGCUGGAUGAUGUGUGUGUGUGUGCUGGAUGAUGUGUGUGUGACUCACACACCCAUCAUCCAGCACUCACACACACAUCAUCCAGCACUCACACACACAC
rnacentral:miRNA from 1 species